rnacentral:RNase_P_RNA from 1 species
AGAGUCGGUUGGAUAGUCGCAGGCUGUGAAAACAGCGUGAGGAAAGUCCGGGCUUCAUAGAGCAGGAUGCCGGAUAACGUCCGGUGGAGGUGACUCCAAGGAUAGUGCAACAGAAAUAAACCGCCUACUUUUGCAGGUAAGGGUGGAAAGGUGAGGUAAGAGCUCACCGCUGGUUUGGUAACAAAUCGGGUCCCUGUAAACCCCAUCCGAAGCAAGUUCAAAUCGGGGCAUUGAGGCUGCUCGUCUCGUCUUGAGGUAAAGAACGCUUGAUGUUAUUGGUGACGAUAACACUAGAUAGAUGACUGUCUAAACAUAACCCGGCUUAUAGACCGGCUCUUUAA